GUACUUUGGCAGCACAUAUACUAAAAUUGGAACAAUACAGAAAAGAUAAGCAUGG
ensembl:snRNA U6 U6 spliceosomal RNA